UAGUAGGUCUGCAUAUAAAAUCUAUGGGUAAUGACACCACUGUAACGUCGUCAUCCCUCUAGACAUCGCUGCUUCUGAAUCCCCUGUCACUGGUUUUCUGCUUCUAAAUUUCCUGUCACUGGUUCUCUGCCUCCUCAUUGUGGCUCAACCUCUCGUUAGCCUAAUCUAAAUAAGUUUGUAUCCCUUGGAAGGCCAGCGUGGAAGGAAGCUUGUGCUACUCUUCAAAAGCUUUUUUCAGGUAGGUUCUUUCAACCAAAGCACUCUAGCUUCUCAAGCAAAGAACAUGCCUUUGCUCAUUGGGUUCAAAUCAGAACUUUUAUAGCAUGAAGUAUAUACUGUCUUUAAAUUCGCCAGACAAGAUAAAGAUCAGAUUUAAGAUUCUUUGUAGUUCUUUAUGUGGAGCAGUUACCAUUAAAUCCAAGAGAGUCCACUCAAGCUGGGUUACCACACCAACUUUGUUGAAGAAAAAUGAAGAAAUUGUCACCCUUAGGCUAUAGUAUUUUUGUAUUUUGAAAAAUGGUGUUGAUAUAAGUAAAAGUAGUUAUGACCUAAACUAGUAUUAUGUUAUUUUGCAAUGAUGAUAUAUUGUGAUUGUGGAUCUUACAACAAU